UACGAAGGGGGCUAGCGUUGCUCGGAAUCACUGGGCGUAAAGGGUGCGUAGGCGGGUCUUUAAGUCAGGGGUGAAAUCCUGGAGCUCAACUCCAGAACUGCCUUCGAUACUGAGGAUCUUGAGUUCGGGAGAGGUGAGUGGAACUGCGAGUGUAGAGGUGAAAUUCGUAGAUAUUCGCAAGAACACCAGUGGCGAAGGCGGCUCACUGGCCCCGAUACUGACGCUGAGGCACGAAAGCGUGGGGAGCAAACAGG
rnacentral:rRNA from 1 species